AAGGAUUUAAGUUAAUAAAACUCGUAGCCUUCAAAGCUUCAAAUAAAGAUAUUUCUUUAAGCCUUA
rnacentral:tRNA from 1 species